GAACGCGAAGAACCUUACCAGGCCUUGACAUCCUAGGAACCCUGAUGAAAGUCGGGGGUGCCCGCAAGGGAACCUAGAGACAGGUGCUGCAUGGCUGUCGUCAGCUCGUGUCGUGAGAUGUUGGGUUAAGUCCCGCAACGAGCGCAACCCUUGUCCUUAGUUGCUAACGGGUAAGCCGAGCUCUCUAGGGAGACUGCCCGCGAAAGCGGGAGGAAGGCGGGGACGACGUCUAGUCCGCAUGGCCCUUACGGCCUGGGCGACACACGUGCUACAAUGCCCGGCACAGAGCGCUGCCACAUCGCAAGAUGGAGCGAAUCGCUAAAUCCGGGCUCAGUUCGGAUUGGGGUCUGCAACCCGACCCCAUGAAGCUGGAAUCGCUAGUAAUCGCGGAUCAGCCAUGCCGCGGUGAAUACGUUCCCGGGUCUUGUACACACC
rnacentral:rRNA from 1 species